GAUCCUGGCUCAGGAUGAACGCUGGCGGCGUGCUUAACACAUGCAAGUCGAGCGAAGCGCUUAGGAAAGAUUCUUAGGAUGAUUUCCUAUUUGACUGAGCGGCGGACGGGUGAGUAACGCGUGGGUAACCUGCCUCAUACAGGGGGAUAACAGUUAGAAAUGACUGCUAAUACCGCAUAAGACCACAGCACCGCAUGGUGCAGGGGUAAAAACUCCGGUGGUAUGAGAUGGACCCGCGU
rnacentral:rRNA from 1 species